rnacentral:rRNA from 1 species
AUGAGGUGUGGAUAGGGGAGAAAUUCCAAUCGAACCCGGAGAUAGCUGGUUCUCCUCGAAAUAGCUUUAGGGCUAGCCUCGUUUUAGUCUUAUGGAGGUAGAGCACUGAAUUUCCGCGGGGGCGUCAAAGCUUACCAAAGAAUAUCAAACUCCGAAUGCCAUGUAGAUGAUGAACGGGAGUCAGACUGCACGAGAUAAGUUGGGCAGUCAAAAGGGAAAGAGCCCAGACCACCAGCUAAGGUCCCAAAGUGUGUGUUAAGUGGAAAAGGAUGUGGGGAUUCAAAGACAACUAGGAUGUUGGCUCAGAAGCAGCCAUUCAUUCAAAGAGUGCGUAACAGCUCACUAGUCGAGAGUCCCUGCGCCGAAAAUGUCCGGGGCUGAAACACAACACCGAAGCCGUGGACUCCGUAAGGAGUGGUAGAGGAGCAUUCUUAAAACCGACGAAGCUGUACCGGUAAGGAGCAGUGGAGGGAUAAGAAGAGAGAAUGCCGGAAUGAGUAGCGAGAGGAAGGUGAGAAUCCUUCCGGCCGAAUAUCCAAGGAUUCCAGGGUAAAGCUGAUCUGCCCUGGGUAAGUCGGGACCUAAGGAGAGGCCGAGAGGCGUAUCCGAUGGACAACAGGUUUAGAUUCCUGUACCACAUAUGGUCAGAACUGUGGGGACGCAGAAGGAAAGCAUGAGCCAGGAAUGGAAAGACUGGUACAAGCAGAGGGGAUGGUGUGCUGGCAAAUCCGCACACGAAAGUCCUUGCUGUGAUGUGGAGCGAACCAAAGUAGCGAAGCAUGCGGACCGGCUGCCGAGAAAAGCCGCUAUUGUGCCAUAUGUGCCCGUACCGUAAACCGACACAGGUGGAUGAGGAGAGAAUCCUAAGGCCGACGGAAGAAGUAUUGUUAAGGAACUCGGCAAAAUGACCCCGUAACUUCGGGAGAAGGGGUGCCUGAGAAAUCAGGCCGCAGAGAAUAGGCUCAAGCAACUGUUUAGCAAAAACACAGGUCUAUGCAAAACCGAAAGGUGAAGUAUAUGGGCUGACGCCUGCCCGGUGCUGGAAGGUUAAGAGGAGAGGUUAGCGCAAGCGAAGCUUUGAAUUUAAGCCCCAGUAAACGGCGGCCGUAACUAUAACGGUCCUAAGGUAGCGAAAUUCCUUGUCGGGUAAGUUCCGACCCGCACGAAAGGCGUAAUGAUUUGAGCGCUGUCUCGACAAUGCAUCCGGUGAAAUUGAAGUACCAGUGAAGAUGCUGGUUACCCGCGCCAGGACGGAAAGACCCCAUGGAGCUUUACUCCAGUUUGGUACUGGGAUUCGGUACUGCAUGUACAGGAUAGGUGGGAGACGAAGAAGUUAGGACGCCAGUCUUAACAGAGUCGCUGUUGGGAUACCACCCUUGCAGUAUUGGGUUUCUAACCAGCCGCUGUGAACCAGCGGUGGGACAAUGCCAGGCGGGGAGUUUGACUGGGGCGGUCGCCUCCGAAAGGGUAUCGGAGGCGCUCAAAGGUUCCCUCAGAAUGGUCGGAAACCAUUCGCAGAGUG